rnacentral:rRNA from 1 species
AGUGAACGCUGGCGGUAGGCCUAACACAUGCAAGUCGAACGGCAGCACAGUAAGAGCUUGCUCUUACGGGUGGCGAGUGGCGGACGGGUGAGGAAUACAUCGGAAUCUACUUUUUCGUGGGGGAUAACGUAGGGACACUUACGCUAAUACCGCAUACGACCUACGGGUGAAAGCAUGGGAUCUUCGGACCUUGCGCGAUUGAAUGAGCCGAUGUCGGAUUAGCUAGUUGGCGGGGUAAAGGCCCACCAAGGCGACGAUCCGUAGCUGGUCUGAGAAGAUGAUCAGCCACACUGGAACUGAGACACGGUCCAGACUCCUACGGGAGGCAGCAGUGGGGAAUAUUGGACAAUGGGCGCAAGCCUGAUCCAGCCAUACCGCGUGGGUGAAGAAGGCCUUCGGGUUGUAAAGCACUUUUGUUGGGAAAGAAAAGCAGCAGGUUAAUACCCCGCUGUUCUGACGGUACCAAAAGAAUAAGCACCGGCUAACUUCGUG